rnacentral:rRNA from 1 species
GGUAACACGUGGAUAACCUACCUAUAAGACUGGGAUAACUUCGGGAAACCGGAGCUAAUACCGGAUAAUAUAUUGAACCGCAUGGUUCAAUAGUGAAAGACGGUUUUGCUGUCACUUAUAGAUGGAUCCGCGCCGCAUUAGCUAGUUGGUAAGGUAACGGCUUACCAAGGCAACGAUGCGUAGCCGACCUGAGAGGGUGAUCGGCCACACUGGAACUGAGACACGGUCCAGACUCCUACGGGAGGCAGCAGC